rnacentral:rRNA from 1 species
CGUAUCACCCAAGACAACUUUACGGAGUUGACGAUUGACGGAGCGAAGCGACGUCAAAGCGUUCAUUAAAGUCGAGUUGGCUUAGGGAUACGUUCGUUGGGUAGGGGAGCGUUCUGUAAGCCUGUGAAGGUGGCCUGUGAGGGUUGCUGGAGGUAUCAGAAGUGCGAAUGCUGACAUAAGUAACGAUAAAGCGGGUGAAAAGCCCGCUCGCCGGAAGACCAAGGGUUCCUGUCCAACGUUAAUCGGGGCAGGGUGAGUCGACCCCUAAGGCGAGGCCGAAAGGCGUAGUCGAUGGGAAACGGGUUAAUAUUCCCGUACUUGGUGUUACUGCGAAGGGGGGACGGAGAAGGCUAUGUUGGCCGGGCGACGGUUGUCCCGGUUUAAGCGUGUAGGUGUGUGUUCCAGGUAAAUCCGGUUCACUUUAACACUGAGGCGUGAUGACGAGGCACUACGGUGCUGAAGCAACAAAUGCCCUGCUUCCAGGAAAAGCCUCUAAGCAUCAGGUAACAUCAAAUCGUACCCCAAACCGACACAGGUGGUCAGGUAGAGAAUACCAAGGCGCUUGAGAGAACUCGGGUGAAGGAACUAGGCAAAAUGGUGCCGUAACUUCGGGAGAAGGCACGCUGACACGUAGGUGAAGUGAUUUACUCACGGAGCUGAAGUCAGUCGAAGAUACCAGCUGGCUGCAACUGUUUAUUAAAAACACAGCACUGUGCAAACACGAAAGUGGACGUAUACGGUGUGACGCCUGCCCGGUGCCGGAAGGUUAAUUGAUGGGGUCAGCGCAAGCGAAGCUCCUGAUCGAAGCCCCGGUAAACGGCGGCCGUAACUAUAACGGUCCUAAGGUAGCGAAAUUCCUUGUCGGGUAAGUUCCGACCUGCACGAAUGGCGUAAUGAUGGCCAGGCUGUCUCCACCCGAGACUCAGUGAAAUUGAACUCGCUGUGAAGAUGCAGUGUACCCGCGGCAAGACGGAAAGACCCCGUGAACCUUUACUAUAGCUUGACACUGAACAUUGAGCCUUGAUGUGUAGGAUAGGUGGGAGGCUUUGAAGUGUGGACGCCAGUCUGCAUGGAGCCGACCUUGAAAUACCACCCUUUAAUGUUUGAUGUUCUAACGUGGACCCGUGAUCCGGGUUGCGGACAGUGUCUGGUGGGUAGUUUGACUGGGGCGGUCUCCUCCUAAAGAGUAACGGAGGAGCACGAAGGUUGGCUAAUCCUGGUCGGACAUCAGGAGGUUAGUGCAAUGGCAUAAGCCAGCUUGACUGCGAGCGUGACGGCGCGAGCAGGUGCGAAAGCAGGUCAUAGUGAUCCGGUGGUUCUGAAUGGAAGGGCCAUCGCUCAACGGAUAAAAGGUACUCCGGGGAUAACAGGCUGAUACCGCCCAAGAGUUCAUAUCGACGGCGGUGUUUGGCACCUCGAUGUCGGCUCAUCACAUCCUGGGGCUGAAGUAGGUCCCAAGGGUAUGGCUGUUCGCCAUUUAAAGUGGUACGCGAGCUGGGUUUAGAACGUCGUGAGACAGUUCGGUCCCUAUCUGCCGUGGGCGCUGGAGAACUGAGGGGGGCUGCUCCUAGUACGAGAGGACCGGAGUGGACGCAUCACUGGUGUUCGGGUUGUCAUGCCAAUGGCACUGCCCGGUAGCUAAAUGCGGAAGAGAUAAGUGCUGAAAGCAUCUAAGCACGAAACUUGCCCCGAGAUGAGUUCUCCCUGAGACUUAGAGUCUCCUGAAGGAACGUUGAAGACGACGACGUUGAUAGGCCGGGUGUGUAAGCGCAGCGAUGCGUUGAGCUAACCGGUACUAAUGAACCGUGAGGCUUAACCUU